GACUUAGCUCCUCUGUUUAUCCACAGAACAGAUACAGCACGGGCAGCGGCAGUGCAAGCCACCCACAGCCACCCCGUGCCACUGUGUCCCAACCCUGACCUGGAGGGACCAGCUCUCGGGGAUCUUGAAGCAAGAGCACCCCGAGUUGGCAGUCCUGGCAGACUCGGUUGACCUUCAGGAGUCCACAGGGAUAGCUUCCGACAGCUCCAGCGACUCUUCCAGCUCCUCCAGCUCCAGUUCGUCAGACUCCGACUCAGAGUGCGAGUCUGGAUCCGAGGGCGAUGGGACAGUGCACCGCAGGAAGAAGAGGAGGACGUGCAGCAUGGUGGGAAACGGGGACACCACCUCCCAGGACGACUGUGUCAGCAAAGAGCGCAGCUCCUCCAGGUGACCCAGCAAGGCUGUUGUCUGUAUGGAAGGACACGCUCGCGGCGAGGGCAGGGCCUGGGGAGGGUGGCCUGUCCAGUCCUGCAGACAAGGGGAGGCCUGACAGAGCCCAAGAAUGAGGACACCCUCGGCACGGGAACCCAUUCACUUAGCGUUUGCUCCAGUAGCUUUCCCUCUGCUACCGAUGCAGAUAAACGCGGCUUGUUUUACUCAGAAAGGCAAGAGAAUGUGAAUAAUGCCAAGAAAACCCUUUACAUUAUUUAAUAAAAAUUGAAUCCAUUUUC
rnacentral:sRNA from 1 species